GUCCUUGUAGCCGAGUUGGUAGAGCGCUUAUAGCUAUUUACCGAAAGUCGAUGGUUCGAUUCCAUCCUGGGGCA